AUUGAACGCUGGCGGCAGGCCUAACACAUGCAAGUCGAGCGGAUGACGGGAGCUUGCUCCUUGAUUUAGCGGCGGACGGGUGAGUAAUGCCUAGGAAUCUGCCUGGUAGUGGGGGACAACGUUUCGAAAGGAACGCUAAUACCGCAUACGUCCUACGGGAGAAAGCAGGGGACCUUCGGGCCUUGCGCUAUCAGAUGAGCCUAGGUCGGAUUAGCUAGUUGGUGAGGUAAUGGCUCACCAAGGCGACGAUCCGUAACUGGUCUGAGAGGAUGAUCAGUCACACUGGAACUGAGACACGGUCCAGACUCCUACGGGAGGCAGCAGUGGGGAAUAUUGGACAAUGGGCGAAAGCCUGAUCCAGCCAUGCCGCGUGUGUGAAGAAGGUCUUCGGAUUGUAAAGCACCUUAAGUUGGGAGGAAGGGCAGUAAGUUAAUACCUUGCUGUUUUGACGUUACCGACAGAAUAAGCACCGGCUAACUCUGUGCCAGCCGCCGCAGUAAUAC
rnacentral:rRNA from 1 species